UGAGCAAGUAGCACAAGAAGCUCCAAAUGUAGCCAUAGAAUAUGCACAUUUAAGGAGAUCGAAAAGGGUUCGCAGACCUGCAAUCUUUGAUGACUACAUUGUCUACUUGCAAGAGCAUAAGUAUGAUAUUGGUGAACCUCAUAUCCAACUACCUACAAGGAAGCCAUCUCUAGUCCUCAAUCCAAUUUUUGGAUGAAUGCUAUGAAUGAUGAGGUGAACUCUAUGUCACAAAAUGAAGUAUGGAGCUUAGUAGAAUUACCAAAAGGUUGUAGACCCAUUGGCUGCAAAUGGGUAUUUAAAACCAAGCAUGAUGCCAAAAUUCGAGUGGAGAGAUAUAAAGCAAGGCUAGUAGCUAAGGACUAUAGCCAACAAGAAGGUAUUGAUUACAAGGAAACCUUCUCUCCUGUUUCGACUAAAGAUUCUUUACAAAUCAUUAUGGCAAUUGUGACACAUUUUGACUUGGAGCUUCAUCAAAUGGAUGUAAGAACGGCUUUCUUGAAUGGAGAUUUAAGUGGAGAUGUCUACAUGAUUCAAUCUAUUGGUUUUGAGGUAGUUGGAAAAGAAAACAUCGUUUGUAAGCUCCAGAAGUCAAUUUAUGAGUUGAAACAAGCCUCAAGGCAGUGGUAUCUCAAGUUCGAUGAAAUUGUCACCGCUAAUGGAUUCGAGGAAAACAUCGUUGAUCAAUGUAUAUACAUAAAGGUCAGUGGGAGCAAGUACAUAUUUCUGGUUUUGUACGUUGAUGAUUUAUUGCUCGAUACCAUUGACACUGACUUGUUGUUUGAGACAAAACAACUAUUUGUUUGGCCAUUUUGACAUGAAAGAUCUUGG
rnacentral:lncRNA from 1 species